rnacentral:lncRNA from 1 species
GUAACCUUGGCAGCACGGGCUUCUGAUACUUCCCAUCUCACCUCCUUUUGAUUCACCUACUAGAGGUUGAUGCCUGGACCAUAGAUAGCAUAGAUCUUCCAGAGCCCUGAACCAGCUACCGAUGGUGUGCAUGGCACACAGACCCUCCCAAUGGCCCCAGAAGCUGUUCCAUAUGAUUGAGGCCAGAGAAGAUUUAAGGGAAGUGAGAUCAAUUGAAGCUCCAAAGUACGUUGAGACUGACUGUCUCCAGGUAAAAUUACCUGCAUGGGCUUCACAGAUGUGAAUCAGAAGCAGAUGAUGGACCAAAGGAAAGGUACUGCUAUACACUGAAUUGUGUUCCCCUGAAUUCUCAAGUUACAGC